UACGUAGGGUGCAAGCGUUGUCCGGAAUUACUGGGCGUAAAGCGCACGUAGGCGGAUUUGCCAGUCAGGGGUGAAAUCCCGGGGCUCAACCUCGGAACUGCCUCUGAUACAGCAAGUCUUGAGUCCGGAAGAGGUGGGUGGAAUUCCUAGUGUAGAGGUGAAAUUCGUAGAUAUUAGGAAGAACACCAGUGGCGAAGGCGGCCCACUGGUCCGGUACUGACGCUGAGGUGCGAAAGCGUGGGGAGCAAACAGG
rnacentral:rRNA from 1 species